rnacentral:rRNA from 1 species
GUGGGGAAUAUUGCGCAAUGGGGGAAACCCUGACGCAGCAACGCCGCGUGAGUGAUGAAGGCUUUCGAGUCGUAAAACUCUGUCUUUGGGGACGAAUAAUGACGGUACCCAAGGAGGAAGCCCCGGCUAACUACGUGCCAGCAGCCGCGGUAAUACGUAGGGGGCAAGCGUUGUCCGGAAUCACUGGGCGGAAAGGGCGCGUAGGCGGUUUGUUAAGUCAGGUGUGAAAGUUUUCAGCUUAACUGGAAAAGUGCACUUGAAACUAACUUACUUGAGUACUGGAGAGGUAAGCGGAAUUCCUAGUGUAGCGGUGAAAUGCGUAGAUAUUAGGAAGAACACCGGUGGCGAAGGCGGCUUACUGGACAGAGACUGACGCUGAGGCGCGAAAGCGUGGGGAGCGAACAGGAUUAGAUACCCGAGUAGUCC